rnacentral:rRNA from 1 species
GAUGAACGCUGGCGGCGUGCCUAAUACAUGCAAGUCGAGCGAACAGAUAAGGAGCUUGCUCCUUUGACGUUAGCGGCGGACGGGUGAGUAACACGUGGGUAACCUACCUAUAAGACUGGGAUAACUUCGGGAAACCGGAGCUAAUACCGGAUAACAUUUGGAACCGCAUGGUUCUAAAGUGAAAGAUGGUUUUGCUAUCACUUAUAGAUGGACCCGCGCCGUAUUAGCUAGUUGGUAAGGUAACGGCUUACCAAGGCAACGAUACGUAGCCGACCUGAGAGGGGGAUCGGCAACACUGGAACUGAGACACGUUCCAGACUCCUACGGGAGGCGGCGGUAGGGAAUCUUCCGCAAUGGGCGAAAGCCUGACGGAGCAACGCCGCGUGAGUGAUGAAGGGUUUCGGCUCGUAAAACUCUGUUAUUAGGGAAGAACAAACGUGUAAGUAACUGUGCACGUCUUGACGGUACCUAAUCAGAAAGCCACGGCUAACUACGU